rnacentral:misc_RNA from 1 species
CCCCCGCCGCCAAAAUGAGCGCUCGGCUCAACAUCCAAGGUCUCCAGAUCAAUAGCCAGUCAAAGGACGGAUGGCGGUUCACCCCUGCCCUCAGCCUCGGGUCACCUUUAGCGGAUUAUAACGCGAAUGGAAGCACCGAGAUUUCGCAUCAGGGUAACGUUGUUGAUAUUGCUGAACCUCGUUCCGGCCGGGCUAGAUUCCGCUGCCGGGGGUGAAACAGAAGACGUCCGCGCUAUACGCGCGCUCCGGUCUGGGCGCGCAGAGGU